rnacentral:lncRNA from 1 species
UAACGUGCUAUGUUAGUUGUUUACUGAUGUAUUUUCUUUACGAAGCCUUGUUAUUUUCCGGCGACAUGGUUAUAAAUAUUCUUUCAACUUAAGCCAGAUACAGUUAAAAGUAUUGCAUGUGAUAAAUGGUUAUUAUUCGCUGGCCAUCUAUACGUGGAACCAAGUGUAGGUGCAUAUUACGAGACGUUAGUGCUUGGGACAAUUUUCAUUAACCAAGCUUUGACCACGUGUUUGUUUGACUGUCUCCAGUGGUUUCCAGUCUGUAGAUUAAGCCAAUUAAGGGUUGAAAUGGCUCCAUUUUGGGAUUAACAGAUUAGCAAGAGGCCAAGAGCCCUCUUAAACGUAAGCACCGGAAGUUGUUCUGAAGCUGCUUUGGGUACUUCACAACAUAAUACUAACAAAACAAGAAAAAAAAUUCAAUGUCAGAAGUUUGAUGGAAGAUUUAUAGUGUUGUUCGCUUCAAUUUUGGCAUGGCAUGUUUCAUGCCUUUUAAGGUCUGAUUUUCUCAACGUUUUUUGGUAGGUAGUACAGUUUGCAAAUAAGGGAACUUUUGACACAGACCUUGAAACCUUUUCUUCUAUCAAAAGGAAUUAGCACUCUUCCUACAUCCAGCACGAUGAUCAGCAGCACUUUGAGACUAAGUCUUUACGAAGUAAAAAAAACUUAUUCAGCGCAAGUAACCAAUAAUCACGUUGGUAAGCGGAAUAUCCGACGGAUGAGCCGAUUGUGGGAUCUUCAAUUGACUUACGAUUCCAUCAUUUGAGCUCGCCACGUUUUGAGGCAGCAACGUGCCGACAACAAUGAAGCGAGUUGAAGAUAUCGAAAGAAAGGACUAGGAGAAACACGUCAAAAUUGUCGAGGAUUACAUGUCAACCAGAUCUUUCACAGGGCUUUUUCAGCCACAACGUUGGUGGAAGAAUAACGCUGAAUUAGCCACACUGGAAAACAUCAAACGAAGAAAAAACAAAUCAUAUUGUUGGAAAAUGUCGUGUUACUUUAUUCUAGGUAAUUGUAUUUGUGCAAAUUGUUAAGCUAAUAAAACGAUCUUUAUCUUUUGUGAUAACAAAUUA